GCCCGCUCAGAAACUCAAAUGAAGUUGACGGGGCCCGCGCAAGCGGUGGAGUAUGUGGUUAAUUCGAUGCAACGCGAAGAACCUUACCUGGUCUUGACAUCCCGGAGACCCUUAGGAAACUAGGGGGUGCUUCCAUCUGGAAGAAUCUGGAGACAGGUGCUGCAUGGCUGUCGUCAGCUCGUGUCGUGAGAUGUUGGGUUAAGUCCCGCAACGAGCGCAACCCUUGCCUUUAGUUGCCAGCAGUUCGGCUGGGCACUCUAAAGGGACUGCCGGUGUUAAACCGGAGGAAGGUGGGGAUGACGUCAAGUCCUCAUGGCCUUUAUGACCAGGGCUACACACGUACUACAAUGGCCGAUACAAAGGGCAGCGACACUGCGAGGUGAAGCCAAUCCCGUAAAAUCGGUCUCAGUCCGGAUUGGAGUCUGCAACUCGACUCCAUGAAGUUGGAAUCGCUAGUAAUCGUGGAUCAGCAUGCCACGGUGAAUACGUUCCCGGGCCUU
rnacentral:rRNA from 1 species